rnacentral:rRNA from 1 species
GACGAACGCUGGCGGCGUGCCUAAUACAUGCAAGUCGGACGCAGUUGCGAACGGGUGAGUAACGCGUAGGUAACUACCUAUUAGUGGGGGAUAACUAUUGGAAACGAUAGCUAAUACCGCAUCCUAGUAGAUGGACCUGCGUUGUAUUAGCUAGUAGGUAGGGUAAUGGCCUACUGAGGCAACGAUACAUAGCCGAGUGGUGAUGGGUGUUGGUAAGACGUGGACUUAGGCACAGCCCAGACUCCUUCUGGAAGCAGGCAUAGGGAAUCUUCGGCAAUGGGGGGAACCCUGAACGGGCAACGCCAGGUGAGGGAAGAAGGUUUUCGGAUCGGAAAGGUAUGUUGUUAAGGAAGCGUUACGUAACCAGAAAGGGACGGCUAACUACGGGCCAGCCGCCGCGGUAAUUC